GUCUUACACUUGAUCUCUGAACUUCAGGUAAGUUCAUGUGUAGACAAUUUUAAGUUACUGAUGCU